UUACUUACCUGGCGGGGGAGACACCUUGAUCAUGAAGGAGGUUUUCCCAGGGUGAGGCUCACCCAUUGCACUAGCCGUCCAGAGUGGCUGGGGAAACCCAGCCAGAUGGGCGCGGCAUAAAUUAUUGCUAUUUGUUAUUUUAAGGGCCCAAG
rnacentral:snRNA from 1 species